AAGAUGCAAACUUAGCAAUUGUGCCUAAAAAGUGACAGCUUUGACAAGGAAAUAUAUCCAUAUAUAACAGUUACUGGUACUGUCUGAAUGCAGGGAAAGGAUCCAGAUGAACAGAUGAAGAGAUUAAGUACAAUGUACAUCAAUUACUUGGAUGAAGAGAAUCUGCAAUAUGGGGAAAUAAUGUUCCUGUAGAAAAGUCAAAGAAUGUAUACAUGUGAGAUUCUGAAGUGUAGCUGUACAUGAUGAGUAGGAAUUUGAAGUGAAUUAUGGGAAAAGUGAAAUGGUAAAAAAGAAACUGCUAGCGCUACUGUGCAGACUACCAUCAUUCAACAUGAUCAAC